GUGUAUUUAACUUAAAAAAAAAGUGAGUUGCAUACUAUUAUGAAAAAUAAUAACAUGUGUGGUAUGUGGUUUUCUGAGUUUUGGAAAAAGCGUCUUGAGCCACGGUGUGGAAUAUAUCAGAUGGAUUGUUUUCUACUGGUUGUGCAUACUUCCGGAAGACCAAGCCCAGAGCAGCGCUGGUGGAAAAUUUACCUGGUUAUACUUUCACCUCUUGUUUUCCAUCCAGGCACUCAUACUGCCCUCUGGCUUCUCCAUCCCCACUGUGAUGGUGGUGAUGAGGGUAUCUGUGGCACCUGUCCUAAACCUGGUCCGCAUCACACCUUUUGUAUUCCAGGCUUGUGGGCCAUUAAGAGAAUGGAAGGGUCAUGGGUUAAUGUAAGACUGGAACCAUCCUCAUCUCUAGGAGACUCAUUUUGCAAUUCAGUUUGAAGUUUAGUCUCAAAUGUAGAUUUUCAAAGGAAGAAUUAUGUGGGAACAGGCCUACAGGCCUCCUGGACAGAGAAGAGCCAUUUCAGAAUCCCUGUGCCAGGCCCAGGAACAGACCCUGCCGUUGGUGGAAUUGGGUCUGGCAGACCGAAUAAUGGUCCCCCAAAGAUGUCUAUGUCGUAGUCCCUGGAACAUUUAUUUUCCUGAUGUUAUCAAAUGAAGGAUCUUGAAAUGAGAAGGUUGUCCUGGAUUAGCUGAGCAGGCCCAGUAUAAUCACAAGGGUCCUUCUAAGAGGGAGGCAGGAAGAUGAAAGACAAGGCAACAUAAAGACUGAAACAGAAGUUGCAGUGGUGCAUGUUGAAGUUGGGGAGGGGCCACAAGCCAAGAAAUACAGGAAGCUUGUAAUAAAGGCAAAGGAGUGGAUGCUCCCCUGAAGCCUCUAGAAGGAGCACAGCUUUGUCAAGGCAUUUUAGACUUCUGAUCUCCAGAAUUAUGCAUUAAUAAAUUUCUGUUGUCUUGAGCCACCAAGUUGGUAAUUUGUCAUGGCAGCAACAGGAAAUUAUUGGGCUUGAGGGAAGGCCCUCUGAUGGAUGGUGUCUCACCUCCAGUGGGAGCCCCUGUUGACAGGUUAGGCAGAGCAGGCAGUGUCUGGACCCUGUAUCAAAUCUGCCUGGUGCUGCUACUCCAUGAUGCAUGAUUCACCAUGCUUGUGCUUGGUGGAUCCAAGAUCUGGCCAGGCCAAAGAAAAGAGGAGGGCCCAUAGCUUGAGAGAGGGAGGUUAGGUUUGGGUGCAAUCAGAAGCUACAUCUGAAGCGGACAGUUUUGAUUGCCAAUCUGACUUCUGUUUUCCCUUUCCCUGACCUAAGCAGAAACUUAAUUUUGUUCUGAUUUCCUCUCCCCAACUGAGCGAUGUUCUCCUGGGGAAGCUGGCUCCCUCAGCAAGUUCCAGUGAGAAUUGAUUACUAAAUGAUGGCCAUUUUCUGGUGACUGUUACUGGCCCAGAAAUGGACACAUGACCCUAGAAGCCCGAUAGGACUGAAGCAAAGGUGUGCGAAUAUGAAGACAUAGCUUUUACUGUCAUUGUCACAGUCAUCUUUUGACACAAAGGAGAGCCAAUUUUAGGAGAAGCUAUUGUUAAGGACAGAAUAGCAGAUGGAUACAAAGAAGCUGAGACCUUGAGAGCGUAACAGACAAAAUAGCUUAUCCUAUGUGAUGUACAUUAUUAUUUAAAGCCAGUGUGAAUUAGUGUUACUUAUAGCCAGAAUAAUUCUAUUGAAGCACUUUCUCAUAUCUGAGUCCUUGUCUCACACCUUUCUUGGUUGUCGGGGGGUGUGGUUUUUACUAAAAGAAACUAACUUCUAUCUGCUGAUCACACUUAGCAGCUAAAAACUUGUCACUUUUCCUAUCUAUUUUGUUCUAUCAAAUUAAGCUUGUGAUCUAAGUGGUAGGAAAUUAGUCUUUUUCUUCAAAAUACCCAGUAAAUGUUAAUAUGAGUAAAAACAAAAGCCACAUGGAUUAUGAAAUAUCUUUAUUUUUCCCAAACGAGAGUGUAAGCUCUUAGAAGUGUCUUGCCCAUGUCUGGCACUCAAAUUUGUUUGAUUUUAAUAGGCACUUUCUGAAAACAUUACUUCAUCCCAGGGAUGGUAAAUAGGAUUCAUAUUGUGUGUCAUCUCCUACUGAUUGUUGUGGAUUUCUGAAGAUCUGUGCUGAGAAGAAUUCUGAAGCCACGGCUGGGCACAGUGUGAGCAGUCACUGUGGCUGCUAGUGAAGUCUGUCACAGACACGGAUGGAGACUGGAGAAAUUACUGCUAGUGUUAAUCACCCUCAUCUUAACCCAAGAACGUAUCUCUUGAGAGGAGAGCCUUGUUAUGUUUAUAUAUGAAGAAUGGAAGACCGUUCUGGAAUCAGUUCUUCAGUGCCAAAACAAUUCAUUGAAGAAGGAAAUAAAUACACACACAAUCCAAUGCAAUAUUCUCUAAUGCUUAGAGUGGAAUAGUUGCUGCAUUUGUGUUUUGAAAUAGAAGAACAUCACAAAUAUGCUUGUACCGUGGUAGGUGAGUAUUCAUAAAUGUGAGUACACAUAUAAACAUGCAUUUCUGGAUGGAUAUACUAGAAAGUUUUAAAUGAUUUUAGAUAAAGUCCAGGGUAGCUGGGGUGAGGGAAGAGGGAGAUGUUUACUUUUUAUUUUGUUUUCCUUCUGAACAGCUGGAAUUUUUUAACCAUGUGCGCUCUAUCCUUAUUUUUUUUUAAUUGAUGAUUAAAAUAAAUAUCCUGGAUGAAAUUGUGUACCGUUUCUCUUUUUUUUCCUAUUUUCCUGUAUUAAAGUUUUUUGGCUAGUAAUUUUUUUCCCAAGUACAGAAGAUUUAAGUAUAUUUUUUAAAAACUUGAAAUUUGGCCACCUUGUUACUUGGCUUUUAGGAAACAGACCAAAGAGCAGUGACACAUGGUUAAAAAUAUAUUUUAAAUGUGUGCUACUUC